GACAGAGGUGCCGAGCGUUAGGCGGAAUCACUGGGCUUAAAGCGUGUGUAGGCGGAUGCCUAAGUACCUUGUGAAAUCCCACGGCUCACCCGUGGAACUGCUUGGUAUACUGGGUGUCUUGAGCCACUUAGGGGCUACCGGAACAAAUGGUGGAGCGGUGAAAUGCGUAGAUAUCAUUUGGAACGCCAAUGGUGAAAACAGGUAGCUGGGAGUGUGCUGACGCUGAGACACGAAAGCCAGGGGAGCAAACGGG
rnacentral:rRNA from 1 species